UGCAGUGUGGUGCAUUGGUCUGCGUGUUCGACUAUGACUCCGGAGACCAGGGUUCGAAUCCCUGCUCAGCCA